UACGGGGGGUGCAAGCGUUGUUCGGAAUUACUGGACGUAAAGCGUGCGCAGGCGAUUUUGUAAGCCAGAUGUGAAAUCCCCGGGCUUAACCUGAGAACUGCAUAUGGGACUGCAAGGCUAGAGUACGGCAGAGGGAGAUGGAAUUCCACGUGUAGCAGUGAAAUGCAUAGAUAUGUGGAGGAACACCGAUGGCGAAGGCAGCCCCCUGGGAUGACACUGACGCUCAUGCACGAAAGCGUGGGGAGCAAACAGG
rnacentral:rRNA from 1 species